GGAUGUGAGGGUAAUCUGGCUACAACAUCUGUCACCCCACUGAUUGCCAGGGUUGAUGUGACUGAUUUGGCUGGCUACUCGGGUGUCCCCUUCCUCUAUCACUGCCCCAUGUGCAUUCCUACUGAAGCUGUGCACCAUCCCCGAUAGAGAAGGGUAGCUGCAUUCCCCUGCUAGAACCUCCAAACAAGCUCUCAAACUCCAGUCCACCAAAAAAAAAAUAGUAUCUGUGUUGCAAUUGUUUU
rnacentral:snRNA from 1 species